rnacentral:rRNA from 1 species
CCUACGGGUGGCAGCAGUGAGGAAUAUUGGUCAAUGGACGAGAGUCUGAACCAGCCAAGUAGCGUGAAGGAUGACUGCCCUAUGGGUUGUAAACUUCUUUUAUAAAGGCAUAAAACGAGGCAAGUGUGCCUUUUUGCAUGUACUUUAUGAAUAAGGAUCGGCUAACUCCGUGCCAGCAGCCGCGAUAAUACGGAGGAUCCGAGCGUUCUCCGGAUUGAUUGGGUUUAAAGGGAGCGUAGAUGGGUUGUUAAGUCAGUUGUGAAAUUUUGCGGCUCAACCGUAAAAUUGCAGUUGAUACUGGGAGUCUUGAGUGCAGUUGAGGUAGGCGUAAUUCGUGGUGUAGCGGUGAAAUGCUUAGAUAUCACGAAGAACCCCGAUUGCGAAGGCAGCUUACUAGACUGUGACUGACAUUGAUGCUCGAAAGUGUGGGUAUCAAACAGGAUGAGAUACCCCUGUAGUC